AAUCCUGGUACCUUUGAUAACUAUUUACACUACUGGGUGGAUGCCACUGCCGGUGGACAUUUCGUCCCCGAGGGUAUCACCAGCACAGUAGUCAACACUUCGGUUUUGACAUGAAUAUCAAUAAUGUGGUCAUUUUUAUAAAUUUCCUGUUUAUAAAACUUUGAAUUUACCAAAAAACUAAGGAUUUUCUUAUCCCAGGCAUAGAUUACCUUAGAAGUAUUUUGCACAACCUUUUUAGGAAUUUUGGAUCCUCCAUGCUCUUCAAUUUUGUACUUGUUUGGCUUUAUAAAUAUUUUGAUAUGAGCGUCACUGAUGAGUCUUAUGUAGACGAAACGCGCGUCUGGCGUACUAAAUUAUAAUCCUGGUACCUUUGAUAACUAUUAUUUGAUUUCUUAUACUUAGAUAUCCAUCUUUUUGUGUAUUUGUUUACGCAUUUUGUACUCAAAACAUGUGAUAUCCUACAGAGAUUAGGGCAUUAAACCUUUGAAUCUACUCGGGACAAGAAUUCUCAGAUAUUUAUGCCUCAAUAAAUGUGUCUAACCUGUGAUGAAAGUUACUGAAGUCAGACCUAGGCGUAUGAUUUCUGGCAUUGGUGUCAGCAGUAUCAACAAUUAUUAAAAUAUUUGAUUCAAUUAUGUAGGCGAGACAUUUUGUGUGGUAACACUUUAUGAUACUUACAUGUCAAUUCUGUUAUGACAUAUGAUUGAUUGUUUUGUUAUGUCAAUUAAAAAAAAGCUUAAUGCAAGCUUAAUUUAUGUUAUAUUGUUACUAAUCUUGCC
rnacentral:lncRNA from 1 species